UGCCAUGUCUAAGUAUAAAUUCUUGUACGAUGAAACUGCAGACGGCUCAUUACAACAGUGAUAAACUAAUAGACUUUCGGGUUUUUAACCUUUUGGAUAACCGCAGUAAAUCGGGGCUAAUACAUACAAGCGAUGGGUGACUGGCAACGGAAGCUCAGCGAUUAUUAGCAUUACUACCAAUACCUUCGGGUCUUGUGGUGAAACCGAAUAAUAUUGCAGAUCGAGGAUUUAUCUUCGACAAGUCUACUGUGUCACUGCCCUAUCAACUUUCGAUGGUACGGUAUUGGCCUACCAUGGUUGUAACGGGUAACGGGGAAUUAGGGUUCGAUUCCGGAGAGGGAGCCUGAGAAAUGGCUACCACUUCUACGGAAGGCAGCAGGCGCGCAAAUUACUCAAUCCCAAUACGGGGAAGUAGUGACAAUAAAUAUCAAUACCUAUCCUUAACGGAGGGCAAUUGAAAUGAACACAAAUUAAAACUCUUAAUUAACACAAUUGGAGGGCAAGUCUGGUGCCAGCAGCCGCGGUAAUUCCAGCUCCAAUAGCAUAUACUAAAGUUGUUGCAGUUAAAAAGCUCGUAGUUGAAGUUAAAGGUUUACUGGGCUAAAGUUAUUUGCCACUCUGGUGGUUAAAUCAACUCCAGUAUUCCUUUUUUUAAUAGCUCUGCUUCUAGCAUCUUUGAUGUUAGUUGUUUGGGCAUUUCACUGUGAGAAAAUUGUGGUGUUUAAAGCAGGCGUCUCGCCUGAUCUUUUGCAGCAUGGUAUGAUGAAACAUGACAUUUUACG
rnacentral:rRNA from 1 species